CCUCCUCUCUCCAUCCGCAGCCCCCUCCCUCAUCUCCCACCGCACGCCGCCACCCUCCACCUCUUCGCGUCCUUCCUCCCACAGCUCGCCGCCGGCCCUCCCCUCCCUUCCCCUUACCUCGCAGCUCCGACAACUACCAGAUCCGCCGCAUACCCCACCCAUCCAUCCCUCUCGCAAUGCAUCUAUUCCUCCCCGGCACUCGCUUGUGACCCCUAGCAAUGGCUAGGGUUUCGACUGCGGCAUCGUGUCCAACACUGCACAUCUCCGGCGGCUCCCCUCCAUCCGCACAUCGCGUCUUCGGUAGCUCCUCUCCGUCCACACCGCUCUUCCUUGAGCCCACCUUGCCGGCUGUGCGGUGAUGCCGCUGUGCAACGUCCAGUGGCGAGCGACCAACUCCUGGGCCGCCGUCGGCGACACCUCUUCUCCACCAAGGGUACCAAGUAGAGACAAACAGCAGGGUACAAAGCAGAGACAAACCACCGCACUGCAACACCGAGCUAGCACUUGCCAUCACAGUGACACAACGCGUUGCUUCUUCAACUCCGUUGCUCCAUCACUAGGUCUAGGUAGCUCUGUAACAGUCGUGCCACUGCAUGGCACACAAUAGAGCUUGAGAGGGCAACCAUGAUGGCCGUUGGGAGCUGCACCACGAUCAACCAAGGGUAUGAUUGGGUCGCGAGCUACUUGGUGUUGUCCAUCAGAAUCUGCCAUGACAUGUAGUUGCCACCAGGAGGAUCGACGACAAGCACAUGAGUGGCACCCUUAGUAGUUUAUAUGUUUUGUUAACAUAAAUUGGAUUGUACUGGUUCCUAUCAUUGCCGUGUGAUAUAUUUUGACAAUAUAUGUUGUAUACUAUCAUUUCCUGGAGGAUAUUAUAAACUGCUAGGUUGUAUAGAUACCUAUGGAUGGCUACAUAUUGAGUGAUUUCUGUAACGUAUGGCACUUUGGAAAUAUUGUCCUGGUCCAAAAUUGGCAUUA